CAGUAGCCGCGGUAAUACGAAGGGGGCUAGCGUUGCUCGGAAUGACUGGGCGUAAAGGGCGCGUAGGCGGAUUGUUUAGUUAGGCGUGAAAUUCCUGGGCUUAACCUGGGGACUGCGCUUAAUACAGGCAGUCUAGAGUGAGGAAGAGGGUUGUGGAAUUCCCAGUGUAGAGGUGAAAUUCGUAGAUAUUGGGAAGAACACCAGUGGCGAAGGCGGCUCACUGGCUCAUUCUAGACGCCGAGGUGCGAAAGCGUGGGGAGCAAACAGGAUUAGAUACCCCGGUAGUCCCUGUCUCUUAUAC
rnacentral:rRNA from 1 species